rnacentral:lncRNA from 1 species
AUUUAGGGUUUGGUUUAGGGUUUGGUUAGGAUUUUAUUUAGGGUUUAGGAUUUGUUUAGGAUUUGAUUUAGGAUUUAAGAUUUGGUUUAGGAUUUGGAUUAGGAUUUGGUUUAGGAUUUAAGAUUUGAUUAGGGUUUGAUUUAGGAUUUAGGAUUUAGUUAGGAUUUGAUUAAGGGUUUAGGGUUUGGUUUAAGAUUUGGUUUAGGAUUGAGGAUUUGGAUUAGGAUUUGAUUUAGGAUUUAAUAUUUAUUUUAGGGUUUGGUUAGAUUUUAUUUAGGAUUUAGGAUUUGAUUAAGGUUUGAUUUAGGGUUUAGGGUUUGAUUAGGGUUUGAUUUAGGGUUUAGGAUUUGGUUAGGAUUUGGUUUAGGAUUUAGGGUUUGAUUUAGGAUUUGAUUUAGGAUUUAGAGUUUGUUUAGGAUUUGAUUUAGGAUUUAGGAUUUUAUUAGGAUUUAAGAUUCAAUUAGUUUUGACCUAAAGUUUGAAUGAAGUUCAAUAGGAUUUUAACUAGAAUUAAUUUAAGAUUGAAUUGAGAUGUAUUUGAGUGAUAUUUGUGUUCGUUCUAAUGUUUCUUUAAGAAUUUUUAUUGUUUAUUUUAAAUUUCUUUGAGGUUUUUUGAAUUUGAUUAAGCUUGCUUAGCAUUAUUAUAGUCUAGUUAGAGCAUUAUUAGUAUUCUAUUAGAAUUAGGAUUUUGUUAUUGCAAUUUUUAUUCUUCCUUCCACAGCUAGGUGCCCGGAGCAUUCUCAAAUAAGACUUCAUGUAUAACGACACCA